rnacentral:rRNA from 1 species
CUAUCGCGAGGACAGGAAAGCCAGCACCGAAGCCUGUGGCCAUUUGGCUACUAGGCAAUGUGGUGUUUAGGUCGUUCCUUGAGAGCGCUGCCUCACUCCAAGUCCAGCAAUGAGUACGGUAACAUUGACAUGGCCCAGAGAGGGUGAAAGGCCCGUGGGAGUGAGGUCGCAGAAAUGCCAGUGCUUUCCUGGAUAGACCUUGGAGUCGGGUUGUUUGUGAAUGCAGCCCAAAGUGGGUGGUAAACUCCAUCCAAGGCUAAAUACUAACACGAGUCCGAUAGCGAACAAGUACCGUGAGGGAAAGUUGAAAAGUACUUUGAAGAGAGAGUAAACAGUGCGUGAAACCGCUCAGAGGUAAACGGGUGGAGUUGAACUGUGAUCUCUGUGGAUUUAGCUGGUGAGUAUGGCUUGUGCUUGGGCAAAUUGGUUGAGUUCUGGAAUCUGCUUAGCCGCAGGUCCUUGCCUUCGGGUAGGGAUGCGCGAUGCACUUAUCAGGUGCUGCGCGUUCUGGUUAAUUCGUGCUUGCUCGCCAGUGCACUUUCGCAGAGUGUUCACCACGACCGGCAUUGUUGUCUGGCUGUUGUGGUUAAACCGGCUUUACUUUGUCCUAUGGGCUUUGAAUUGUCGGGAUGGCAGGUAGCUCAAUUGCCUUGCUCCGCUUGGCUCUCGGGUGUUACUAGCUGACCGCAUCGGUUCUGUGCAGUAUGUCGGAGACGGCGGCUUGUGGUACAUGCGCGCGUGAUCGUUGGUUGGCGUGCUCGGGUUGGGUUGCUACGUUGCUCGUAUCUGACGGGCCUAGGAACAGCUCGGGUAUGUUCAGCUGGCAGUUGUGUGUGUAGUGCUUUCCAGGGCCAACAGUCUGUGGUGUUGCGGUAGACGAUCCCCUGACCGUCUGAACG